GUCGUUUGUGAUGCUGGUUGCUACUUUGAUGCUACAUGCUACACACAGGGAUUCCUCCACGAUUCCUAAACAGAUUAACGUUUUGUUAACAAUUGCUGCAAUCAGCGAUCAGGUUUUUUGUUUGGAUAUUUUUUUUUUUUUGCCAGGUGCUUGCUGCACCUGAUGACCUUUCAUGGACCUUGAUGGCGAGCUAAGAUUCUAAACCUAUCCUACCUGCCACAUGGUGAAGUAGGAUUAAACGGAAAUUAAUGAACUUUACCCCGGAAGCUUUUCUUUUGUUGUCUUUUGCCUUUACUGGGCACCUGAAAAUAAUCAUGUGAAUUUGAAUGAACUUGUUGAUAUCUUGAAUACAACUAUUUUGUAACGCA